GCAAGGUCUCGGUGCUUGCACGUGGGUUUGGGUCAUAACUGUCUGAUGACACCUUGGAACUAGUUGGGAGCGGUUAGCUGCAGCAGGGCRUCCAUAACGCACAUGAUUGCAGGCCGUGUCCCCUCCUGUUGGGCCGGGGGGGGGGGGGGGGGCACAUGUCUAAACUUUCGAAGCAAGGAGUCCAUCCAAAAUUGUGCAAAGUGCCUUCUCCCAGGGGUGGGUGCCUGUGGCUCCAUAAAAAGAGGUGCGGAGGGAAGCCCUGCUGUCACUGAGGGAUAGGAGCCACCACGGUGUCCUCAGUGGGGUCGGUCACGGGAAGAGUGAGAGCAGGUCCAGUUUCGGUGAGUCCGGCGGGAGAGUCGGGAGUUGGCUUGGUGCGUCGGUAGGCUUGGGCGGGGGGAUGGUUCUUUUGCUGACAUGUCUUGUGUUUGUACUCUGCGAACUGGCYGAGUGAGAAUAAAAUGUGUUGUAACCCUUCCUAAACUGUGUGGUCAUGUGUGGUGGUGUUGAUGCUGGGUCAGGCAGUCGGCGGGAGGAGGGCAGCGGGUGGGGGACACGAAUUGCGAGGAGCCGUGUGCCGGGCGGUCGGCGUGGGGCACAGAGCCAAUGGCUCUGGGGGAGCGGAGGGGCAGGGACAGGGACCUYGGGUUUUGGUUGUGGCUUGCCGCUGUGCGGUGGAGGGUCUGGGUGGGAGAGGGGGGAAGAGGGAGGCAGUGGUCCUCUCCCUUUGGGUUGUGUGCACAUAUGGGGGGCAGGGACUUGGGGGUCUUACCUGUGUGCAGCCUAUUAAUGCUCUCUGCUUCCAUCCUUCUGGCUGUCCUUGGCAAUCCCUGCGGUGGAGAACUGGAGGAGGUCACCGAGCCCCAGGAGAGGAAUUGCAGCCGGGAAGGGUUCUUGCGGUCCGAGCGAGGAGCUGCAGCGUCGGUCGGUCAGAGUGAGGCAUCCCAGCGUUCGGAUCCCUGCAGGGAUGACAGCGCAGGAUGUGCAGGAAGAUAUUUCAAUGUGGGCAGUAGUGGAAGCAACGUGCCACGUACCAGGACCCUGACAGCCUGCAGAAAGGAUUUGUGAGCAACACUUCGGAGCAUGCUGAAGGCUGUGUGAAGAAAGGAGGACUUGUCCACUUGCCUCAUGGAGAGACUAGAGAAUUUGUCAGUAUGACUGAAGGAGCGGCAGGAGGAGGAGGAAUGUAUCCAGUGCGAAGAAGCGGUCAGGAAGGCAUCCCUGGAGAGAUGGCAUCAGUCUUCUCGCCAUGUGGCUCUUGUGGCCCCAGCGGACUUAUCUAUGAUGUUUGGCGCGGUGGUGAAGGGUGUGUGUGGGGUCCUUUGGUGUGGGCUUGCAGUCUUGUCUAUAUCUGUGAAGAAAGAGGCCUGUCAAUAAAGGAUGGCUUUGUGCUGCA
rnacentral:lncRNA from 1 species